UACGUAGGGUGCAAGCGUUGUCCGGAAUUAUUGGGCGUAAAGAGCUCGUAGGCGGUUUGUCGCGUCUGCUGUGAAAACUCGGGGCUUAACUCCGGGCCUGCAGUGGGUACGGGCAGACUAGAGUGCGGUAGGGGAGACUGGAAUUCCUGGUGUAGCGGUGAAAUGCGUAGAUAUCUGGAGGAACACCGGUGGCGAAGGCGGCAUCCUGGACCAACACUGACGCUGAGGAGCGAAAGCCAGGGGAGCAAACGGG
rnacentral:rRNA from 1 species